AGAGUUUGAUCAUGGCUCAGGAUGAACGCUGGCGGUCUGCUUAACACAUGCAAGUCGAACGGGUUUAUUUCCUUCGGGGAAUAAAUUAGUGGCGGACGGGUGAGUAACGCGUGAGAAUCUACCUUAAGGACGGAGAUAACAGAGGGAAACUUCUGCUAAUCCCCGAUGAGCUAGCAAUAGUAAAAAGAUUUAUCGCCUUGAGAUGAGCUCGCGUCCGAUUAGCUAGUUGGUAAGGUAAAAGCUUACCAAGGCAACGAUCGGUAGCCGGUCUGAGAGGACAAUCGGCCACACUGGGACUGAGACACGGCCCAGACUCCUACGGGAGGCAGCAGUGGGGAAUUUUCCGCAAUGGGCGAAAGCCUGACGGAGCAAGACCGCGUGGGGGAGGAAUGCCUUAGGGUUGUAAACCCCUUUUAUAUGGGAAGAAACUAUCUUAAAAAAUAGCUGACGGUACCAUAUGAAUAAGCCUCGGCUAACUCCGUGCCAGCAGCCGCGGUAAUACGGAGGAGGCAAGCGUUAUCCGGAUUUAUUGGGCGUAAAGCGUUCGCAGGUGGUUCUUCAAGUCUGCUGUUAAAGACAGUGGCUCAACUACUGAAAGGCAGUAGAUACUGAAAGACUAGAGUGCGGUAGGGGCAGAGGGAAUUCCCGGUGUAGCGGUGAAAUGCGUAGAUUUCGGGAAGAACAUCGGUGGCGAAGCGCU
rnacentral:rRNA from 1 species